rnacentral:misc_RNA from 1 species
GUCUUUUUUAUUUCUCAACUAACUCUGUCAAACAAACAAGCGUAAACAUCAAGGCCUUGCGACCUUGUGCUAAUGUUGUGAGUGCUACGGCGGUUAAGCACGCAGACUCGCAAAAGAUUUGUAAUGAUCCUUCCGCAGGUUCACCUACGGAAA